UACGGGGGGGGCAAGCGUUGUUCGGAAUUACUGGGCGUAAAGAGCGUGUAGGCGGUCCGGUAAGUCAGCUGUGAAAGUCAAGGGCUCAACCCUUGAAUGCCGGUUGAUACUGUCGGGCUAGAGUCCGGAAGAGGCGAGUGGAAUUCCCGGUGUAGCGGUGAAAUGCGCAGAUAUCAGGAGGAACACCGGUGGCGAAGGCGGGUCUCUGGGCCGAUACUGACGCUGAGGAGCGAAAGCGUGGGGAGCGAACAGG
rnacentral:rRNA from 1 species